rnacentral:rRNA from 1 species
UACAGGGGGUGCAAACGUUGCUCGGAAUCAUUGGGCGUAAAGCGCACGUAGGCGGUUUGUUAUGUCGGAUGUGAAAGCCCUUGGCUCAACUAAGGAAGUGCAUCCGAAACUGGCAAGCUGGAGUACUAAAGAGGGUCGCGGAAUUCCCGGUGUAGAGGUGAAAUUCGUAGAUAUCGGGAGGAACACCGGUGGCGAAGGCGGCCCCCUGGUUGGAUACUGACGCUGAGACGCGAAAGCGUGGGGAGCAAACAGG